rnacentral:rRNA from 1 species
UGGCAUGACGACGGUGCAGGUACUGAACACAUGCAGUCGAACGGUAACAGGAAGCAGCUUGCUGUUUCGUUGACGAGUGGCGGACGGGUGAGUAAUGUCUGGGAAACUGCCUGAUGGAGGGGGAUAACUACUGGAAACGGUAGCUAAUACCGCAUAACGUCGCAAGACCAAAGAGGGGGACCUUAGGGCCUCUUGCCAUCGGAUGUGCCCAGAUGGGAUUAGCUAGUAGGUGGGGUAACGGCUCACCUAGGCGACGAUCCCUAGCUGGUCUGAGAGGAUGACCAGCCACACUGGAACUGAGACACGGUCCAGACUCCUACGGGAGGCAGCAGUGGGGAAUAUUGCACAAUGGGCGCAAGCCUGAUGCAGCCAUGCCGCGUGUAUGAAGAAGGCCUUCGGGUUGUAAAGUACUUUCAGCGGGGAGGAAGGGAGUAAAGUUAAUACCUUUGCUCAUUGACGUUACCCGCAGAAGAAGCACCGGCUAACUCCGUGCCAGCAGCCGCGGUAAUACGGAGGGUGCAAGCGUUAAUCGGAAUUACUGGGCGUAAAGCGCACGCAGGCGGUUUGUUAAGUCAGAUGUGAAAUCCCCGGGCUCAACCUGGGAACUGCAUCUGAUACUGUCAAGCUUGAGUCUCGUAGAGGGGGGUAGAAUUCCAGGUGUAGCGGUGGAAUGCGUAGAGAUCUGUAGGAAUACCGGUGGCGAAGGCGGCCCCCCUGCACGAAGACUGACGCUCAGGUGCGAAAGCGUGGGGAGCAAACAGGAUUAGAUACCCUGUAGUCCACGCCGUAAACGAUGUCGACUUGGAAGGUUGUGCCCAUGAGGCGUGCUUUCCGGAGCUAACGCGUUAAGUCGACUGCCUGGGGAGUACCGCCCGCAUGCUUAAAACUCAAUGACUUGACGGAAGGCGAA